ensembl:lncRNA
CCGGCGGGGCGGAACGGGGCGGCACCCCGCGGGGGCACUGUCAGCGCAGCGUGCUCCGUGUGUUUGGAUAUAAACCAUACAUCAGGAGGGCUGGUCCUGCUGGAGUCUCCGCCAGACGCUAAGAAGCAGGGAAGGGUCCUCCUGAGAGAAAAGAGCUCCAGGCAGGCCUGGGAGCAGCCUGUCUCUAUCUAAAGGGAGGCUGUGGGAAGGAAGGGGACAGACUCGUUGUGACAGGACAAGGAGAAAGGGUUUCAAACUAAAAGAGGGGACAUUUAGGUUGGAUAUAUGGAAAAAAGUCUUGUGCAAAAAGAGUAGUGAAGCCCUGUCCCUGGAGAUGCCCAAGGUCAGGCGGAUGGGCUCUGGGCACCCAAUGGAGCUGUAGGUUGCAAUGUGUUGGCUUAAUCCAUAGAGUGGGGUAUAGUUUAACCUAAAUAGCUUGCUAUGGAAAGCUAGCUUAUUUUGGGAUAUUUUUAUGUAUCUAUAAUCUCUCUUUUAUAUGUCCUGGCCUUUAAAAGCCUACUGCUUGGUACCAUGAGGUCCUUCCAUUGGUGCGGAACAGGUAGAGGGGAAACUUUAGAACUUGAUAUGGAAUGUUCUGUAUUUGUAUAUAGAAUCAUAGAACAUCCCGAGUUGGAAGGGACCCACAAGGAUCAUCUGUUGUUGGUGUGGCUAAUCUUGUCUUUUAGGAGCAUCUUGAAAAUCAGCAUGUCUGUCUAGCCAGCUAAAAGGGAGACUGUUAAUUAACAAAACAUGCAUGAAUGGGAGAGGUGGUUGAGGUCUCAUGAGUGCUGCAGCCCUCUCUCCAAGCACAUAAAGGUACUAUAUCCAAAUGUAUUAUAAGGGAUGUGCCAUUGUUCUGUUGGGGUGCAUGGUGAGGGGUCUGGAGCACAAGUCUUAUAAGGAGAGGCUGAGGGAACUGGGAUGGUUCGGUCCAGAGAAGAGGAGGCUCAGGGGAGACCUCAUUGCUCCCUACAACUCCCUGAGUGGAGGUUGUGACGAAGUGGAGGUUGGCCUCUUCUUCCUCAUAACUAGCGAUAAGACUAAAGGGAAUGGCCUCAGGUUGUGCCAGGCAAGAUUGAGGUUGGAUAAUUAUAAAAAAUUCUUCUCUAACAGUGGUUAGGCACUGGAAUGGGCUGCCCAGGGAGCUGGUUGAGUCACUGUCCCUGGAGGCCUUCAAGAAACAUUUAGAUGUUGUACUGAGGGGAGACAUGGUUUAGUGGGAAAUACUGGUUGUGGGUGGGUGGGUGGACUGGAUGAUCUGAGGUCUUUUCCAACCUUGGUCAUUCUAUGAUUAGAUGGAAGGAUCCCCUUGUGCAUCUUGUGCUAUAUUAAAGAAUGCCUGCUUCUUAAUACCCCAUUGGUCUUAAGGAGUUUUAUUUGGACCAGGGUUGGUUUGGCAGCACCUUGAGUCCAACCCCUGGCUCCAUGCAGAACCACCUGAAAAUCAGGCCAUAUGUCUGAGGGUGGUGUCCAGGUACAUCUUGAACUCUGGCAGCUUGGGGCUGCUGUCUACUGCCCUAAGAGCCUGUUCCUCUCAGUGAAAAAAUCCUUCCCGAUACCCCACCUUAAUAGGAGCUGUAACAAUAUUGUUAAGUUUGCUCAUGUUCCUUGAUGGAUAGCUCUGAAGUUUGUUUGGAUAAUGGGAAGAGCUGUGUCUUUGUACCAAGUAGAUAAGGAGAAUUCUGCUUAGCCUUUGUACCAAGCAAAUAAGGAGAGUUCUGUUAAGUCUUUGUACCAAAUAAAUAAGGAUAAUUCUGCUUGGAAUCACUUAGUUGUGAAAGCAAGUGUUGAAUAUGUAUGUACCUCCAAGAAAACCUCAGCAUAUGUGGUGCAAGUAAUGUAUAUAAGCUGAAGAUCUUUUGUGCAAGGUAUGCAUGAUAGGUGGAGUGCACCCCCCAUGCAUUCAGCACUGAAAAUAGAGUGCCUGCUUUCUAACACUCCAACUUGAUUCUUAAAGAGUUUCAUAGCAGAUCGAUUUACAGCAUCAGUUUGGCACCGCAGAUGGGGUAAGCCUUGACAGUUCCUGAGUUCACAGAAUCUCAUCUGGCACUGAGGUAUUUUUGGGAGGACCUUGAUCCCCAGGCUAAAGAGCCCCGCAGACAGUACCACUGACUAGUCUUUUGACUGCAUGGUAGAGGAUGAUGCUCAGAAAAUAUACCAUGUGCCCGUUGCAGUUCUGGAGAAAUGAAAAGCUGCUCAAAAGGAGAAUACCAAUACCUUAGAGACCCCAUUACUAGAAAUGGAAAUGGGGGAUUUUCAUCAAAGGACAGAUUGAAAUGAAUAUGAAUGUUGUGCUCUGUCUGCCAGCCCCUCAGCAUGUGCAGUGGUAGAAGGAAGGGAAUCUUGCUUCCUCUUGAGCUGGAGCACCAUGAAUCUGGCAACUCUGCAGCCUCCUGAGACCAACAGCCUGCUCAGGAAGUGCUGAAUGUUACAAGCAAAUGCUUUGCAGGAGACUCAGGUUAAUGUUCAUUCCAGCAUACCUGUGAACCUCAGUACUUCAGAGGACAUGGCUUGAUCUGCUAUAGACUUACUCACAUGGAACAAAAAUUCCUGAAAAGUGGUUAUUAGCGCGAUUGGUCAAAACAUCAAUUUCUGAGCCCAAAUGCAUUUGAAAAGUAGGGACUACGGUAAUGUAGUGCCAGCUGUAAGUAGCAGUGGAUUUCUGCUGAAACUACUUCUGAGAAACAUGGAAGCUGCAUUGUACAAGCUCUUGUUGUGGUAAAACUGCUCCACUGAGGAGGGCAGGAGCUCUGAAAAUGUCUUGACAGCAGCUGGUCUAAACAAGAAGAUGUAAAUCCAGAAAUGCUGCUGCUGAAAUGGCUGAGGGGGCCUGCUGAAUUCAUCAGCGACUGCUUUCUGUGAUCUUUUGUCUGGCUCCUUUGGCUAAGCCCACUCUGAUGUGACCUCCUCUGCUGACUGUAAGGUCCUUCUGUAAACUGUUUCCUGAAAGAGAGCUAGAGCUCAGAGCCUGGGACUGGUACAUAGAGCUCUUUGAAAGGCACAGCUGGAGCAGGAGUGGUAACUACACCUACACCACAAGAUAUCAAGGGCUGUAAAAUAAACACCCUAUCCUAGGGUUUUCACUGUUCGACUGUAAACAGCUGUGUGUCUGUCCAGUGGGUCCCUGCUAAUGCAUGCCCUUCCAAAUGAGCAUUCCUUCUGGAAUGUGCCUGUGCAGUGUGGAAAGCCCAGGUCAGGACAGCUCGUUGUCUUACAGAGGCUUUACUCUGCCCUAUGGCUUCCUGAACCCAUCCAAAGCUCCACAGUGCAUCAAAGCUGUACUAUGUAGUAUUUUUUAACAGCAAAGCCUGCAAAGAAAAAGCCAUUGACACUUCCAUGAGCACAAACCUGCCGUACUAUAUUUGUUAGCAAUAUACAAAACCACAGAAUGUUCUUUCAGGUUGGUGCCCCGGUCAGCAUUUAUUUUCCUCUGUACUGCUCUGCCCAUACAAACCAUUUUAGAAUUUUACUUAUCUUAAACAAAAAUCAUCGUUCCAAAUUAAGGACCCGGAGUUCUCACUGCCAGAACAACCAAUCCGUCAGUCGCUUUUAAUAAUGCGAGCCUCUUUCAUGACUUUUCAGCUCUGAUGUUUGCAUGGUUUCAAAGCAGCACCUCCUGGCAGGCUGUGGUACUGCUUCUGAGGGCAGAGACCUUGUGUUUAUAUCCCACACAACAGCCCAGCGCAGUGACCUUCAGCAACAGCCCUUAUUGCUCAUCAUGCAAAAUGCCCCGUGAUGGACUCAAUUACUACAUCUUCCACCGGUGAAGGAAUAAAAAUGGGAAAUGUUUUUUGUUUUCUCUUUGUAUGAGCAAACAUAAGCACUCAGUGCUGUCACACAGAUCUCGUUCCCCCCCUUUUUUUAAUACUACAUGGGCUAUUUACAGUAAUAUCACUAGAAACAGUGUAGGACUUGAUCCAAAGGACUGAUGUCAGCAAACAGGAGAUGUUGGCUCCCAUCCCUCUAUACUGUAAUACGGACUUCAGUAGCUAUCUUUUCCUUCUGAUUUUACUCACUUCUAUGGCCCUGCAUACGUCUGACAGGCAGAAAAUUGAGGUGAGAAUGGUAAUUCAGGAUAUUUUCAGAAAACAUCAUUAGUUUAAAGUAUUACUAACUCUUUCAGUGUAUCUUAGUCCCUUAGCAUUGAAGCAAUGCCACUGUCUUCACGGACCAGCAAAAAUACCAUGAAGUGGAAGCAUCGCAGAAAAGCACUAAUGAAGAAAAUUAAGUAAGCUUCCUUAUUUGAUGUAUCUAUGCAUGGUUUAAUGCAGUGUUCUGCUGUAAGCGUUAGAAUCACCGUGAAACAGUCCAGCAAUUUGGAAUAACUUGAGGAAUCAGGCAUGAAGAACACCAGGCAACUUAUACAGGCUGAGAUAUGAUGUAAAUACAUCCUUACUAGAAAUAAAAACAGUGCAUAGAGAGCCUUUUCUAGAAGGAAGCAUGGAAAAGUGUCG